CCUGUUCCUAGAAGCAUUGCAAAUGACAUGUGAGUUAGUAGGUGGCAGAGAGGAGCAAGGCUAUGUCUAUGUUUGGUGUUCUGACCUAUGAACAUAUGAAUGAAUGAUCAGGAGCCUAAUAUU
rnacentral:snoRNA from 1 species